rnacentral:misc_RNA from 1 species
UAGAUGCUAAUUGAGAAAUCAUUUAUUGUUGACUUUGAUGGCUCAUUAAUAGAGUCUCAAUCAUGGCUUCCAAUCUAGCUGUCUUGUCUGGUUGUGCUUGUUGUGGUAGAGGUUGUUGUGGUUGUGGUGGAGCAGGCCCAUUUUGAGGUUUGGGAAUUCCAAGAGGAGGACAUAUAUUCUGUUGAAAAUUCUGAUGUUGUUGAUACCCAGAAGGUUGCUGAAAAUUUUGGUGUUGUCCUUGUCUACCUCCCCAAGAGAAA